rnacentral:rRNA from 1 species
UACGUAGGGGGCGAGCGUUGUCCGGAAUCAUUGGGCGUAAAGCGCGUGUAGGCGGCCCGGUAAGUCCGCUGUGAAAGUCCAGGGCUCAACCCUGGAAUGCCGGUGGAUACUGUCGGGCUAGAGUCCGGAAUGGGCGAGUGGAAUUCCUGGUGUAGCGGUGAAAUGCGCAGAUAUCAGGAGGAACACCAAUGGCGAAGGCAGCUCGCUGGGACGUGACUGACGCUGAGACGCGAAAGCGUGGGGAGCGAAUGGG